rnacentral:tRNA from 1 species
GCCUUGGUGGUGGAACGGUAGACACGCGAGACUCAUCAACAUAUCGUGUGCUCACGAGCGUCGUGGAGGUUCGAAUCCUCUCAAAGGCA